rnacentral:lncRNA from 1 species
GAGAGAAGACAGUUGUGGGAUUUUUGCACGGACGCAGAUGGACAUGACGGAGGGGGUUGAAGCGGCGGUGGAAGUGAAAAGCUCUGCAUUUGGAGGAGGUGGUGGCGGUAGUCAAUGGGAGGAAUCGACGAGAGGAGGAGGAGGAGGAGGAGGAGGAGGUUGAGCAGCCGGAGAAUACGAGUUUUGAAGUGGUAGACGACGUCGUCGUCAUGGAGGAGGGCGAUGCCAUGAAUGGCCGAAGCGAUUGGAGCUGCCUGAGUAUCAGCCCUAUGCUUGCUGAUGCUUUAAUCCCGCCUUUGUUGCUUUUAGGGUUUAAUGCUUUUGUAGCUGUGUAGAAAGUACAGUUUUACAACAACUGAAUGAAAUUUUACAGAGCCAAUUGAGAAAGUUUCUCCCCCGAAAGGAAAAACAUAAGUUGUCUGCUUCUUUUCUUUGCUUCAAAUUACUUUCUCACCCAAAAGAAGAUGGGUAAAUUUUUUGAGUAAAUCUGUAGAUUUAGAUGGAUUGUGGAUCAGUGGAUCAUAUACUUCGAAAAUUUAGAUGCUUUGUUAGUAUUAAAAGUGGCAAAAUGGAUAUAUGGUUAAUAAAUGGUUUUAGUUAAAUGGAUAAUGGAUCAAAUUGAUCCAAUCCAAUUAAAAUCACUUAAUAAAUUGAUCUAAAUGGAUGUCAUUUAAAUGGAUAGUGUAAACCAUGAUCCAUCCAUUUAUCCAUUUACUCUCCCAAAUCUUAAAUUUAAGAUCCAAAUAUUUUUUUUUCAAAAAAUACAUAUCCCCAAAGUUCUAUCCUUAAAUCACCUAAAAUCUUUUGGUAAUAACAAAUGCUUGUACUAUACUCUAUUUCAGUUCUUCAUAAAAUUAGUUUAGUUCAAAGAAAAUUUAACUGAUGUGGUCAAUUUAACCUCUCAUCAUUACUUUAAGUAUCAUUUUGUAAAGUAAUGAACAAUUAAGAACUUCGCUACAUUUUUAUAACUUUUGGGUGAAUUGAAUACGGCUUUACAGUGAAAAGAAGUUUACGUUUCCAAUUUUUACACUCCUGUUCAAGAGGGAUGCCUUGAAUAAAAGUGGAGUUCUAAUAAAAAAUCUUAUGUUAUUUAACAAGUAAAAUUUUUCAUCACAUGUGCACGUAGUACCUAAAAAUGUAUGAAACUCCUUAUUAUACUAUUGAUAUACAAGCUACAUUAUAUUACUUAGUAAAUUAGGUGUCUUUUUUUUUUUUUUAGUGGGGUUGGGUAAUAAGGGGAGAGGGAUUGUAAGUAUGAGAAUUUGGAUUCAAAACCUUCAAUUUAUUAAAAAAAAAAAUAAAAGAAGGUGUCAUUUACGUUUCUUAACCAAUAUUGCGGGGUACUCGUUAGAAAAAUUCUUUUUAUAAAUAAAAGAAUUAAAAAAAUGAAAAAUUAUUUUAACUGGACCCACCAAAACCCAUCAACGGCCGUACAUUGCAUCACAUGUCCUUUACAAUUUUGAAAGUCCAUUUAGCCCUUGUAUACAGGGACGCAUGCUUGACAAAGUAGUUCUUUGAUUGGUUAAAGGACUUGGAAGUGAGGCAUCAUAGCAGGGACUCCAGAUUAAACUCCCAUAAGGACUUUGGAUGUUACCAUGAAUGAAUGCAUUUGGUCCAUGUCUUUCUCCACCAGCGAGGAUGUGAGGGUGGUGAUAAAGUAGGGAAGUAGGUUCAUUAACCCUGCAGAUCUAGUUUUCAGCUAGAGUCUCAUGUUGAUUUUGCCAAUUUUUAUAUUUUCUGGCAACAAAUCAUUUGCCUUAAAAUUUAACAAAUACAAAUUGGCAUCUAUUCAAUUGGGGAAGGAUUUCGCAUGUCUUGUUGUUUGGAAAAGUUUCCACUCAUGUUUCCAGAAUACCUUUUCAUUUAUUUUCUAUUUCUCCACUGGAAUAUUUCAUGUUACGAAAAUACACUAUUCCAUGUGCAAAUGGAUUCUCGAAUUAUAGGUCUUUUAUACUGUUACAUAGAAAUUGAUCAAACUUUUGAAUGCUCUAAUGCUUUACUAGGAGUUUUAUUGUCAGGAAGAGAAUGCAUUAUGUCCCUUUGUUUGUUGUUGGAAUGUGCAAGUUUUGCAGGAAGAUGUCAUAAACGUUCUCACAUGUCACUGAUUAUGGAAGGUAGAAGUUUUGUGGAGUCACAACGUGUAAAGGUGAUAACAAAUCUUGCUUUCAGUGCUAUGUUACGGGCUGGUCAACUUUUGAUCAUGAAGACACAAUGGUUCAUAUCCAGAAAUUAUACGAAUUUUGAGCACAAUACAUGGAAAGAUAAUCUUUCUAUCCAGAUUAUAUUAGACUUACUCUCCAACAAGUUAAAAGUUAGCAAUAUGUGCUGUUGAUGACAUUAAAUUUGUCUGUGCUGAUUGCCCGAUAGUUAGGCUUGACUAGCAGGCUUGGCUGAGUGAAUCUAAUUUGUGUUUUCUUAGCCCUUUAAGUGUAGUGUUAUGAGAUGGCUUUCUUAUGGGUGAUCUGAUUUUUUGCUUAGUGUCUAUUUCUGUCUGUUGUUCUUUGACAAUGCACCAUAUUGCCUGAAGUGGCUCUAGCUUAUUUUUACAUAUCAUAAUAUAACAUACUUUGAGGAGCAUAGACGAGCAAAGGGGUUUAUACAGACAUAUAUACAAUGUUUUCAUGGCUUGCAACUGCACUUGCAUUGGGGGAAAGUUAUGUAUUGUAAACUCCGUAAUGACAAAUUAAUUACCUUCCAAUGGUAUUAUCCACAUGAAAACCAAAGCCAUUCUCAGAUUUCCCUGUUUUAUGCAUUUCAGCAAAGCUUCCUGCUUAUUACAGACUGUAGACUGGUGAUUCAAGUUCAAUGAAAAUCCUUAUACUAUAUAAGAACGAGUUUAGGACUAGAUUUCAACAGUAGGGGUGAGGCUAUUUUGGGAAUGUGAGAGUGUUUGAAAAGUAAUUGGAACAUUGAGUACAAGUCAUUAUAGCUUUAAUUUCACUAUAAUUACUUAUAUAACCUUUCAGACAUUUAAGGUUAGAGGCAAGUUUGAUAUGUUACAAUGUUUGGUGUCAAGUUUAGUAUCAAGUACAACUUAAUAAAGAUUUUAUUUUGAUAGAAUUACAUAAAAGUCCUUUUAACCAUUUAUUAUACUAACAUCCAAACCUUCCAAUUUCCUAAAAUCUUUCUCAUACGUUAAGAAAUUAAUUGGAUGUUUAUCCUUAUACUACAUAAGAACGAGUUUAGGACUAGAUUUCAAUUGUAGGGAUGAGGCUAUUUUGGAAAUGCCAGAGUGUUUGAAGAGUAAUUGGAACAUUGAGUAUAAGUCAUUAUAGCUUUAAUUUCAUUAUAAUUACUUAUAUAACCUUUCAAACAUUUAAGGUUAGGGGUAGGUUUGGUAUGUUACAAUGUUUGGUGCCAAAUUGAUUAUCAAGUACAACUUAAUAAAGCUUGUAUUUUGAUAGAAUUACAUAAAAGUCCUUUUAAUCAUUUAUUAUACUAACAUCCAAACCUUCCAAUUUUCUAAAACCUUUCUCAUCCGUUAAGGAAUUAAUUGGAUGUUUACAUAAUUCGAUUUUAAUUACAAUUAAUUAAUUUAAUUAUUAUCUGAACAAUCAUUAUCAUAUUUAUGUCCCCAUGUUUAGUUGAUACCCUUUCUUCUUUUUUGGUUUCACCUCUUUGAUUUUAUUAUGGCUAUUAAAUAUUUGGUGGAAUGCAUAGCUUUUCCUUUAAAUUGAGGUGAGUCCUUUGAGUUUGUCUUCUUCGAUUGUAAUUUUUUUUUCUGAUGAUUGGUUUAUUCAAUAACUCCAUAUAGUUUGCCUUUUGAUACUUCUAAUUCCAAAAACUGACUAAUUGUAUUAUUUUUUUUAGUAGAUCCCAGAGAUUCUGUCUCUGGUCAAAGUACAAUUUGAGAUAAUGUUGUCACUUUCUAAAAUAAUCAGAAAAGUAAUUUUAUCAUCUUCUUCUCCUCAACCAAGGUAUUAUCUCUUUAUUUAAAUCAAAUAACCUUAUUUCUCAUGAAUUUUCUCCUAUUAUUCUUGACUUCAGGGAUCCGUUGACUACAUUCCAGCAGUUAUGGUUCAAGUAGUUAUUUUUUCAUGUAAUAUGAUUUGAAAUUCAGCUUGUGUUUAUUUUAAUUGAAAAUUUUAUGAUUAUAAAAUUUAUUAACUUAGAAUUUUAUAUUUCAUUAAAACUAAAAAAGAAAAUUAAUCAUGCUACAUAGUACUAAGAUGUCAUUUGCACUUUAUUUGCUUUCCAUGUUAUGAUCUCGUUCUUGUAUUAUACUGUUUAUAUAGUUUCAAAUACAAAAAAUUUGUUUUUUUAUGCUAUGUAAAAGAAUUUGUAGUGAAACUUGAUGAGUUAAAAUGCUUUAGCUACAGCACUAUUUUGAUUGCAUUGUAUUAAUUCAUUUACUCAUAAUUGUAUGUUGUACAAUGAUAAAUAGUUUCUUGAUUUGAUUGAAGCAACUAUUAUCCAUAGUUCAAACAAGUCAAUUAAGUAGAAAUGUUAUAUUGGAUACUUAUAUAAGUAAACAUUAGAAAAUAUCAUUAAACAGUUUUUACCUAUAGUUUGCAAUUCGAAUUCAUAUGAGGAAUUUCUUUUGAUUUUACUUACCAUUUUCUACAAUUUCAAAUUUAGAAAAUAUUAUUUACACCAAUUUUUUAUAAUCAAGAUAGUUUCAAUUCAGAUCUUUAACAAUUAUGCAGAUUUGAACUUAUUUAUGAGAUUUUAAAGAAAUGCCACUAACAAAAAACACCAAAUAUGAAUAGUUUCUACAAAACUUUAAAAAAGACCAUUUAAAUUUCUUAUCUAUCUAUCAUUUUUGGGCAUUAUUAUCUAUGUAAGAAACAUGUGAUUAAGUCGUAUUAUACCUACCAAAUUAUAUAAAUAGUUAGUAAAAAAUAAAAUUAUUUUAGAUUAUAUUGGACGCAAAGUGAUUGAUGGAUAAACUUGACUUGAUAAUUCAGGUUGAGUUUAAGUCGCGGGAGAAAUCAGAAACAUUACUUGAGGGAUCUUUCACGAACAUAUAUAGAUUUGAGAGAUGAAUGAUCCAAUUGAUACUUUAAAAUGUUUUAUCAUCUUGGAUAAGUUUUAGAAGAGACCUUUAGAUACUUUUCAAUUGCACUUCAAACAUUCUUACAUUUUCAAACUACCCUUAUCUUUACAGUUGAAAUUCAAACAUAACCUUUGAUUACAACAGAUUCUUAUAUAGUAUAACGAUAAGGAUGUCUUAUUAUACAUUAUUUUUAUUGACUCACUAUGUAACUUAUGAUUUUUCUAUUAAAAUCACAUGAUAAAAUCAUCAUACUUCAGUUCAUAUACUACAAAAUAUUAAACAAUAAUUAUUAAUUAUCUUAAAUCACAAGCACCAAAUUCUCGCGCGUCGCGCGGGCUGUCCCUCCCUAGUAUUAGAUUCUAAAGUAGACAUUUUCACAGUUAUUGUUACUUUAUCUCAUUAAUUGUAAAGGAUGGUGCACUUUCAUCGUCAUUUAAAUUUAGCAUAUUUUAAAGAAUUAGCCAUCUUGCAGGUUAUGAAAAAUAUUUGUAGGCAUUAAUUGUCUCAUCAUGACAAGGAUAAGUUAAUUAAUAUUGGGAUUUUUUUCCUAAGUAUACUUAAAUUAUACUUAAGUAAUCAUUUGAAUGCAUUCACAAUUAUUUCGCCCAUUUCAUUUAACCUCUUUUCCAAAUUAAAUUUACUUUUACGAAAAAAUUAAUGUCUGAUACCUCUCUUAAUGUAGUGUUGAAAACAUGACUCUUUUAAUAUCUCCUACCUCUUUUAUCUGUAAAUUUACUUUUACAAAAAUAAAUAAAUUUAAUUUCAUCUCCUGUUUGUAUAGCAAUUUUUUGAAAAUUUUGAAGAAAAAUAUAUUAUAAUGAUUUAAUUUAUGCGAGAUUGUUAUAGGAUUUUCCUGUAACACAGAUGCGUAAACAAUGUCCAAUAGUUACAAAGUGAAACAAGCAAAACUUAUAAAUAUCUAAUCAUGGCAUAUGAUAGUAUUUAAAAUAUUUACUAGAAGUGCUAAAUGAAAGCAUAGAAUAAGAUUUUUAUAUGUCAUCGAUUGCUUAUACUAAUAUUUCCAUAAUGUUUGAUCAUUCUUCUUUGCACGAAUGCAAAACUAAAGAAAGGAUAAUUGAUAAAAUUUCAUCUCAUUUAAAGCAAAACGAUUAAGUGUAAGGUCAUGAUAACUAAAAGAGAUAAUCUAGAAAUGUUAUUUUGCAAAAGAAAUUAACUAUUUAUUUUGUUAAUUGUGCAGGAUUUUCAACACAUUACAAAGUGAACAAUUUGAUGUAUAUAAUGAUGCUAAAUGUCACACGUAAAUCCAAAUCUAGUCAUUCAAAGUGGCAUCAUAACUCUGAAGUAAUUACCAAAUAUGACCAUGUUCAACAACAAUAAUAUGUAUAUGACCAAAACCUAUGUCGUCACCAGAGUUUACAAUUUUACUUUUCCUUUCUUCUUCUCCUCACAAAUAAAAGAAACUCAAUAGACUGAAGUUGUUCUAAUUACACAAAAGUUAGAACAACUUCAUUCUUUCUUAUAAUAAACGGUGUCAUCGUUUUCCAUUUUUUAAAUAGUACCAACUAGUUAUAACAAGACAAAGAGCUGCCGAAAAGCAUGCCGCGAGAAUAAUAGAGGAAGGAAGAAGGAAUGAGCAGUCCUUACUUGAUUACUUCUAGAAGCACCAAACGAAAUAAAUUCCAUGAUGAUAUAUGAACCCCCUGUUGGAAGUGGACCGACCUAGAAUUCCAUUUUAUCAAGUUUGUCAUGUCAAAUAACCUAACACUGAAGUAAAGGGCAGAUAGUAAGUAAUUGAGAAGCAGCCAUUAAAAUACACGAUUUAUAACCUCAUCUUAAAUGGUUCAGGCACACGAACUUUUCUAGUUUCAUACAUAGCAUUCAAAGCUAAAGCCUCUCCCUCAAACAUUGAUGGUUCAACGCUCCUAUUCAAAUUUUGGAGUAAUGUAAGAACAUGAAAGCAUGCAUUAAUCUCUUAGUUUUACAAGAAAAAAUAAAAGAAAUAUAUUUUGUUGGUCAAAAAACAAAUGCAACAUUCAUGCUGUUUCAUAUUCUCUUCUUUUAUCAAGUCUCAGAUUCAUCAAUAUGUUAGAAGCAUACAAACUCAUGCUACUUCGUAUGGUAUCAUUACUUGUUUGAUGAGUCAUUGAAAAGGUGGCGCUGCUAAAUUGGGAGAGAGAUAUAAGGACUGAAUUAGGAAGAAUAGGGAGAGAGAUAUAGCUUGAGGAGGACAAAACGAAAUGUUCUGGACAUGCGUCAUUACAUAAUAGUCCAUAAUAACCUUCGUUUGGUUCAAAGUACAAGUGAAAAUGAAGGAGGAGGCUACUUCUCCUCAUCAUUCAUCCCACGCACAAAUCUUACUGACAGUACGUUUAGUUGAAACGGAUGGCUUCAUGCACCUAUACUACGACCGAAAUCAUGUUCAUUCUGGAAAUCAAAUCCAGAAUAAGAGAGCGAGUGAAAUCAAAUCCAUUCCGGUAUCAUUCUGGAAAGAGACUAUGUCGCGCAGCUUGUUGAGAAGAAUUUUUGCCGUGCACCUUCCAUUCCCAACUCCCAACUCCACCGCCUUCCACUACCACCAUCCACCACCAUCACCCCAUUAAACUCUUUCUUUUCGUCCUCCCCAACUCCCCACCCCACUUUACUCCUUCCCGUUCCAUCCAAUUCCGAUGGAAAUCCAAACGGCCAACUGAUCAUUUGAAGCGAAAGGAGCUCCGGUUUUUAACUAAACAAUGCCGCUGCAGAGAAGACGGAUGCGGGAAAUCUUUUAAAACUCUCAAACAACUGGAUGAUCAUUAUAAGCUUAAGCACAAGAUUGCAGAGAAACAUUUGAUUCGCUGCACAUGUGGGAGCCGCUUUCACUCAGCCCAAUCACUGUCCGAACACAAGAUGAGUGACUGCCCGGUAAAGGGUUUCAGAGAUUGGAAGCACUAUCGGAAAUAUGCUGCAAGCAACAGACAGAAAAAAUAUGACAGUCCAACAGACAGAGCUGGAUUCUUAAUUGUUCAUUACUUUACAAAAUGAUACUUAAAGUAAUGAUGAAAGGUUAAAUUGACUACAACAGUUAAAUUUUCUUGAAAGUAAACUAAUUUUAUGAAAAACUGAAAUAGAGUAUAGUACAAGCAUUUGUUAUUACCAAAAAGUUUUAGGUGAUUUAAGGAUAGAACUUUUGGGAUAUGUAUUUUUUGGAAAAAAAAAAUAUUUAGAUCUUAAAUUUAGGAUUUGCGAUAGUAAAUGGAUAAAUGGAUGGAUCAUGGUUUACACUAUCCAUUUAAAUGACAUCCAUUUAGAUCCAUUUAUUAAAUAGUUUUAAUUGAAUUGGAUCAAUUUGAUCCAUUAUCUAUUUAACUAAAAUUAUUUAUCAACCAUAUAUCCAUUUUGUCACUUCCUAGUUAUAGUCAUCAAGAAUGCAAACCCGGGACAAAUUGAUUGCUCCUUCACUUGCGGAGACCCCAAGGUACUCUACCAAACCUCUCUCUCUCUCUCUCUCUCUCUCUUCCAAAUUUUAGGCAAAAAUGCAGAACCCAUAAUUAUAAAAUCAGAUCCCGGCAAUCCUGCUACUAUGAUUUGUUGUUAUACAUUUAGACUAGCUAGCUAAGGUGUGUAUGAAUGAUUAUUCUCAGUGUUAAAAACAUAUCAAUCCAUUUUGUUUUAAUUAUUUAUUUAUCUUUGUCAAAAUCCAUUUUGUCUUAGUUUUGUACUAAAAUUAUAAUACUACUAAGUUUCAUCUGUUGUAGGCAAAAACCUUGCACCAGCUUCAUGUGUGAGAGCCGACUGCAAUGGGCAAUGGGCUUUCAGUUGUUGGAUCUCUUUUCAUAUUCACAGGAAACUAGAGGCCCAGAAAACUAGAAGCAAAAUCUAAAGCACUCUUACAUUCAUAUUCAACACUCCAUCAUCCAUCCAUCCAUCCAUCCAUCUCCAUAGGAGGAUCUCUUUUCAGACCACCAGCUGGUUUUGCAAUUAUAAUCUGUAUCGGGAAACCAGUACACAACACAUAAUCACAAUUAUUGUAAAAGAUGACGAAAACUUCUUAACGUUGAAACAUGAGAAGAACCAUUUCCAUCAUUCUGUGGGUGGAUCAAAUGCACAUGUUUUAGACCAAAAUGCAUUGCUGUGGAUUUUGAUGGAAAAUAUUGUUCUUUUUGCUGGUUGUAGCAAUAUCAAAGCAAUUGAAAAUAUUGCAUUGCACCUACUAAAAGUCAGAUGAGAUUUAUGAUCAAAAUUUCCAGCAAAGGCAUCCAUAAUUAUUAACAACAGCAGCACCGUUUAGACCCUCCUUAUGGGACCUUAGUGUCCCGAACUGAGGCAAAAUAACUACAAGAAUCUCCAACUAUACUUAAAUAUUGUGGUUAACCCAAGCCUUCUUUUGAAACUAGUGAUAGGGUAUAGUAUGAGCUUUUUAGCAUGCCCAAGAAAUCCUGUCAUCAUGCAUGACUUCUGAUCCACUUAGGAGAUCUAAGAUCUCCACACUUGGAAAGUCUCUGCAAAUUCACCUAUAUCCUCACUUAGCCCCAGUAAGGGAAACUUCUAGGCAGUGAAUUCAAAAGACAAUCACACAACCCACAAAAUAACUUGAUCAACUGAAAACCUAUACCUAAAACCAUGGCCAUCACCUACGCACCAAUUACCAAGUAAUCCUGCCAAUUAUUGCAUAUCCGCUCCAUAAACUACAUUGAAUUCUCUACCACCAAGUGAAACUCUUUCAUAUUAAAAAAAAAAAGUCAACUAAAUGCAGCAUAAACCACAAAAAUGGGUAAUUCACCACCAGUAUCAUGACAACAACGUUACAAACAAGAAAAGUAAAGAUGCCAAGAAUGUCUUACCCGGUCUACACGCAUGACAGUACAAACAGCAUCAGCAGCAUAUUUGAGAGCAAAAAACCUAUCAAUUGAAUCAAAUCCCUAGUUAAGAACCAUCUGACACUUCAUUAAAUUUGAUAUUUCAGAAUAGCUCGAGUUGCUGAAGAAUAUUCUAGAAUGCAUCAAUCCCAGGGAGAGUAAACUAAAAAGGAUCUCCUUCAUGGGCAGAAAAAAACCCAAGCAAGCAAGCACUUGAGUAUCAGCUCCAGUUUUCACAAGCUCAUGCACAACUGGGCUGCUUGGAUCUUUUGAUUAAUGUUGAGGAUCCAAUGACCAAGAUCGACAGAGCUCAGGAUCUCCAUUGAGCUUUUGUUUACGUUGCUCCACAGAAGCUAGAUUUAGUUAGGUGGUAGCCUUUAAUAUGCAUGACAUAUGCAGGUCACUAGAAAUUGCUAAACAAUCUUCUGAACAACCUUCACCAGCAAGGUUUAAUGCUUAAUCCAAGAAUGACUUUAAAAGUAAAAAUUGCUCUCAAUCUUCAAAAUUGAACCCUCUAUGCUAGAAAAAAAUUGAAUGUGGAUUUCAGCAAUAUAAGAAAAAAGCUUACUUUAUGGUAUAUGGGUCCUAUACACUGGUUGUGGAGACAUCUUUGCAGACGCCUUCCUCCAAACUAGGGGUGAGCAUUCGGUGCAAAUGCGGUAAAUCGGUGCGCUGAAUUCGGUUUUUUCGGUUAUUGCACCUAUAGAAAUCUAAACCGUUUUCAAUUUCGAAUUGGGCAUUACCGAAUUCAUGCGGUACCCGAUUUCAAAUUCGAAAACGGUAAUGAAUUCGGUCUAACCGAAUUCAUCUAUUAUUUAAAAAAAAACCUGCAGCAAAUUAAGAGAAUAUAUAAACCAAUCUUUAUAGUUCAGCAACUACCAACCCCCGCAAGCCAUUAGAUGUUUCUCUUUUACACAUUGCAGAAAAUUCAUAUCCAGAAUCCUAGGUACAACUUCUGGAGCCGUACUUUCACUAGAUGUGCACCAGAGAUUGAGAAUCUCCACGGACAAGGAGGUAAAAUUUUCAUUUUAGCAAGUUUUUUUCUUUAUAAUUUUUCUAACGGGUAAAAGGUGGAAUUUUUCCCCAAGGCCUUAACUUUUAAAGGCUGCACAACUGGAGAGAGCUUCUUGUGUAUAAAAUACAAAGCUUAUGUUAUAUCACACCUAAUCUAAACUACUACAACAGUUAGAGUUUGCAAUUGGAAGCUCAGAUUUCGUCCCCUUAUCAAUUCAGGAUAACAAAUUUCCUAGUCGAUCUUGGCCCAUUUUAAUGCCAGAGACACAGAGCCAAAAACAGAGGAGCACUUACCUAAGUGAGCCAGAGAUGAGCAGUGAUGAACCAGCGAUGAACUAGUGAGAUCUUGGUGCUUCGUCUUCGACACUCGGCAGCGAUGAACCAGCACGGCAGGACACAGCCGACAGGAGACGUAGAGCGCGGCGGACUGGCGGAGGCCGGAGAGGCAGAGAGCAGCUUCGAUUUGGGAAUUGGGACUUGGGACUUGGGAGUGUUAGUGCUGUGAAAGCCCUAGGUGACGGCAGUCACGGCACUAUGCAAUAUUGCAAAUUUGCAAUGGUUGUUUUCUCACUUUUCAAUUUUCAUCAGCUGAAGAUGAAAUCCGACUUUUUCCGAAUGAAGUGAUUUUGUAAUUUUUAAUUUACAAAUUGGGGCUCCUAAAUUAUAAUACAUUCAUUAUGCUCCUCAAUGAUUUAAAAAUUAUUACUAAUUUGAUCCCCAAAUUUAUUCAUAAUUGAACACAUUACUUAUGUUCAAAUCAUUUUGUGGUUUAAUUGGCAUUUAUUUGAUCACUUAUACCUAAAAUCCUUGGUAUAUGAUUUAAAAAACACAUAAAAAGUGAUUAAUUUAAAUUAAUUUAGUUAGUAGUUACAAUGAAUUUAUAAUUUACAAUGAUUAAUAAUAAGUAAUAUUAGUUACAAACUUACAAAUUACAAUGAAUCAAUGACCAGUGAUAAAUUACAUUAGUUACAAACUUAUAACUUAUUUUAAAUCAAAAUAAAACUUAUUUACUUGAUUUGCAACUCACAUGUAUUCACUUACACUGUUUAGUUAUUUUGUCUAUACUUAAAGCCUUAAGAUUAGUAAAUAAAUAAUAUAAACUUUUAACUUAUUUGAUCACUUAUACCUACAAUCCUUAGUUUAUGAUUUAAGGAACACAUAAAAAGUGAUUAAUUUAAACUAGAAUAAACCUUAGACUGUACAAUGGUUAGUAAUAAACUCAAUGAGACAAGAGCCCUAUGGUAUCAACAGCUCUAUCUACAGAUGUAAACUCGUCAAACGCAGAUAACAAGAUUAUAUCUUGUGUAGUGCAAGUUUUUUUUGGGUACAUCACGGAGAAGGGCGACAUCCACAAUUUGGCAAAUUGGAUGCCUGCUGGUAAACGUUGAAAACCUAACAAGUAAAGUCGUUAUUACUUUAUGCACGAAUGGAUUAAAGAUUGUGCCCAGAAGAAUAGGGCCAGGUGCCAUUUUUCUUCUGAAGUUCAAGUUGGUCAAGUGAAGCUAAUGGAAAUUUGAAGACAUGAAUCAUGACUAAUUUGAAAAUUUUUCAAAAAAUAAACAUGUGCAUUAAAAAAAAAAGAACAGAACAUCUACAAGCAUAAAAUUUGAAGCACGUCGAUAGCUUAAUCCAAAAUGACUGGCAAAACACAUGGACCCAUGCGUAUAAGUUCACCCUCAUGCCAUGUAACUAAGAUAAUUUUGAUUGUCUUAUUAAGUAAAGUGGCCCCAACUUGAAGUUCCCGAAUCAUCAAAGUGCCUACGUCAAGAGAAAUUAAUGAUAGAUACCAGGAUGUGAGCAAUGUCAUAUUAAUUAAACAUAUAAACUAAAGCAAUACUUCCAAACAAAACUCAAGGCUUCAAUGUGACUUGAAGUUUGAAAUGCAUGUCCGCUUGGUCUAGAAGGCACUACAUAGAUUUAGUGUAGUAUCCUAUGAAAAGGAGACAAAGCAAACCCUAAACAGAGAAAAGGCCAGAAAUGGAAUAUCCAUUUGGACAGUCAAGAAUCUUCCUAGCUUAGGGCCGUGGCAGCACUUAGGAGACAGUAACAACUAAGGUGAACUCUGAUUUUUGCCCACAAAGAAGUAAGAAGCUCAUGUGGCAAUGGAGGAUCCUUUCCAAAGGAUCUCUCUUGAUGGAGUAGUUCAGCACAUGCCCAAUUUAAAGGCUUGCAAUUUAGAAACCACCACACUCAAACAGUAAGCAUCAAAGCCCAAGUAUCCUAUGAAGGGGAGGGACUCCUUGAACCAGCUGCCCUGCAUGAACAUCAUGUCAACCAGUGAUGUUUCUAAGCCAGUGAACAUGAACAAAAACCAAUCUCAAUUUGGCAGGUUUUGGAGCCCUUCAGAGUGCCCUCGACUAGACUAGUCAAGCUGUUUCAACUCGAAUGCACAACUGUCAACUUUCCUUUGCAACUUGCCUCCAGUAGAAGAUAAAGUUAUAGAUCUUGAUCAGGUCAAAGCUUGCUUGAUCAGUGGUUUACUUAGUUUCCUCUUAUACACAUCCAUAAAUCCCAUUUCUUAAUCUUGAUCCAUAUCAUUUGAGUAGGAUAUGAGAAUCAUAUUUUUCUGUCCAAGCUUUUUUUGCAGUCUUCUUUUACACCUUUACAUUUUGUAUCUUCUCCAAUCCCCUUCUUCCAGUUAAUUUUGUUUUGCCAGUUUCUUUACUUUUUCUUGAAUAGCUACCCUAACCUAAAACUUUAUUGCAUUUUUCUAGUUUUAUACUUGCAGAUGUCAGCCAUAACUAUCUAUUUUCACUUCAUCAAUAUGCCGCUUUGGAUACACCAGCUUUCCAAUAGAAGCCAAGGAAACUAAGGGUUGCCCAGAAUUUUCAAACAACUUUAGAAGAAGCAAAUAUUUAUUGAACUCUCACUGAUCCAAUCAACAAAAGAUUCUUCAGUCCUUUUGAAAAAAUAACAAUUGAAAAAAAAAUUCCUUUGACAAGCAAACUAUUUUUUUUUUUUUGAAUAACAAACAGCCACGCAAUUAUCCCUUAGAAAGGGAUCUUUAGGCCCAAGGAAAACAGCAUCCUAAUGACUCUUUGGAUGUAUAAUCCAUUUCCAAAAAUUUUCACUUAUUCUCCAUUUUCCUAAAUGUAUUAAAACUUCAAACUUAUGUUUUUCUCUCCACAAAUCUGCAUCUAGGGUUUUGCAAACAUAAAACAAGUAUAUCUUUCCACAAAAUGCCCAUACAAAUUGUUCUUCUACUCAGAUCAACAAGUCUGACAAGAAAUAUUACAGCCAGUAAUACAGGUUAUUGAAUAAGAAAAUUGGAUGCGACUGCAGAAGUAUGAUCUUAAGCUACAAAAAAGAUCAACUUCAUCAAGGCCAAAAUGAUUGAAAACUAACUGAAACCUAUCCUAGAUAGCUAAGGGCUUAGUUAACAGCUAACGUGUCUAUACAAGGAAAACUAAAGCUUCAGAUUUGCUAUUCCCCUAAUUCCAGAUUAUUUCCCUUUCUCUUCAUUCAUGUCCCCAUGCAAUUAAAAGAAGAAUAAACAAGAAAGGAAAAUACAUACGCUGAUGAAAACAAAAACUACAAAUUACAAACUCCUUCCUCAAUUUAUAUCUGAGUCCAAGAAAACAUAUGGCCGCUUCACCAAAAAUGUAAAGUGCAUAAAUUUUACACUUCAUUCAAUCUUAUCUCCCUCAUUUCCAAGCUUAUUAUCCAAACCCCCAAACCGCGCCCCCCCCCUUCCCAACGCAUCCAAAAUCAAAUCUACAUGGCACCAACAUCCCACAAGAGCACAAAUCAAAAUUCAAUCUUGAAUAGAUUCCAGACACGAAUGCUAAAACCCUAAUGAAAAACAGCCCAUAUAUCCCAAUAAACAAUCCAAGAGCAUCAAGCUGAAUGAAAAAAAAACAAGCAAAUGAGCAAACGAAACUCAACUAGAAAUCAUUAAACCAUCAUAACAUUUCCAGAACCAGAUUGAAACCACAAAAAUCAAAAACACACAAAAAAACAAGAAAGGAAAAACACGUACGCCACAAACACUUGAAUGCCAUUGAAAGAAUGGUUUAAUACCUCUAAAAAAUUUAAUCAAAUAAAAUCAAAGACAAUGGGACUUUGAAUUAGUGAAUUGGUGGUAGUUGGGCGAAUUAGAAAAAUAGAUAAAAAUGAGGGGGGGAAAUUUGGUAAAAACUGGGGAAAUGGUGGUUUUGGUGGCGGUGGUGGUGGUGGUGGCGGUGAAGGAGGAGCCAAGGGGGAGGAAGAUUUAGCAUGUCAGGAAAAGCGUUACCAUCAGUGUAUACUUGGAAACAAGUAUGUCAUUUUCAGGGUGCGCCGCGUCAGCAUUUGGAACAUAAUCUUUAACCCAACCCGGGAACUUGGCUCAGUUUUUUUUUUUUUUUUUUUUCCUGCUCGGGUUACAACUACUGCAAUUCUUCUUCUUAUUAUUUAUUUAUAUUUUUACGAGUGAUAGAUGAGAUUUAAGAAGCAGGAAUAAAAAGAAAAUUAAAACUCAUGACAGUUAAUUCAUGAGACUUCAACAAUCAAGACUUUCUUGAUUAUUAAUUACACAUAAUUUGAUAAGUCAUUGAUUUUUUUUCCAUAUUUUUAACGAACAUGUUAAUUAAUCAAUUCCUAUAAAUUAGAUCAGAUUUGGCAGUUUUUCUUAUGCAGCAACGCCCGACAUGGCACAAGCGCGAAGGGGUUCAAGACUCAGUUUUCUUUUUAUGAGGGCUAAAAUUACUUAUUUUAGCUUGUUUAAAGUACUAAUACUAUAUUUUCCUACAUUUCCAUCCUAAAUUACUGCUUAAUCCGAGUAAUUAUUAUCAUUUUAAAUAGAAACUGAAUUCUAUCUUUUGCAAGUUAUUGUUACCUUUUUUGCCCAAGUUUUGAGUCGUGUAGUUUUUUAACUCUCAAUUGCAUUUAAUAGUAUCGACCAACUUCGGGCCAUGUCAGCUAUGCAAUUUAUUUUCUUUUCGUAUUUAGGCGAAUUAUAUAGAUUUCACUUCGCAAUUUUUUGUUAGCGAGCAUUGAAAGGCUAUGAAGUGCGUUUUCCAUUUGGAAACACUAAAGACUAGUGAUAGCAUGACAAUGAAAAGAAAAUUGGAAAAAAAAAAGAUUAAGAUAAGAAAAUCAGUGGCUCAAAUUGGGGCAUAUUAGUGUUGAAUUUCAGUUUGAAUCUUUUUAUUGUUGAUAGUAUUUUGAUGAGCAUUAAUUUUUUCUACCAGUGGAAAUGUGGGAUUUAAGAAGCGGAAAAAGGGUAAUUAUUAGGGAAUUAGAAUUUAAAAUCUAUAUGUUUUAAGGCAUCAGUUUUAACGAUUAAAUCAAAAUUUUUUUGAUAGUUAAAUGAAAGCUCUUAACUUUAUUUCAACCACCUUUUUUUUUAAUCUUUGACAUUUAGGAGAUGUAAAAUUCUAAGAAAAACAGGGAUAAGCUCAAGCAUUUAAAGAUACGAAGCGUUGAUCAUCAAGCAGACGAGCUUCAAUACCUUCAAAUUCAAUGUUUGUAGUAAAAGACAAUGAAAAUUCUUUUUUUUUCUUUUCCACUUUUAAGGGGGAGGGGGGGGGGGAAGUCAAUCGGUCAAUACUCCAUACAUAGUCGCUUCCAAUUCAUGAGACAAAAACCCAAUUGAAACCAUUUGGGCCUCCAAGACCUUGUAUGGACGAGCUCACAUCUUUGACCACCCCACCGAAUAACUUAAAUUAAAAAGAUCUUUGGCAGCCCAAUCAUGCAGGCAAUUUACCCCCAGAGUCCAGGAGGAGAAUGGCACCGGUUUGCCGGCCCUAAACCGUACUUAACUGAAAUAUAUAUAUAUAUAUUUGUUUUUGGAAACUAAUUUUAUUGUUAUUAUUUUUUAAAUAUUUGUUAAAAUGUUUUUCUAGCAAAGGCGGGAUAGGAUUUAAGAAAUGAAAAGAGGGGAAGAGGAAUCUAAAUCUAGGACCUCUCACUUCUCAAAAGAGUUUAGAUUAUGGUACUAUAACUUAUGGUGCCAGUGUUUUCAGAUAUGUAAAUAAAAGCAUGCGUAAUAUAGAAUUUAAAAUGGGUAAUUGCAUUGCCAAAAGUCGAAUGACAAUGGGAAUUUAAAAAAAAAAAAAAAAAAGUCCUAUCACACAAGGAAAAAAGAAGGGGAAAAGAAAAACAAAAAGAAGAGCACCAAUGCUAUACUUAUAAGGUGACCAAACACCUACAAAGGCAACCCAAAGAACAGGAGUGAGUUGUCAGAAAUUGCUUUGCAUAUAUACGUGAUGAUGAAUGAAAUGAACUUCAAAAUAUAAGCAAGUCCCUUCUCGUGCAUCAGUAGUAGUUAGCUCUGAAUUUAGAUACACUGUUCAGUUGACUUGACACAAAUAUUGAGGGUGUUUGGAUAUCUAUUAUUUGGAGUAUUAUUUGAUAAAAUAUUAUAGAUAAUGAAAAAAUCUGUCAGAUAACAAAAAAAUAUUUGGACAACUUUGGUGGCAAUUCUUCACUUUCCACGUCCUCAUUGCCAGGUUGGACCACGUGGAUACAUUACUUUAGUCGAUAUGAGGAGGGAUAAAAAAAUUGGCCAGCUUUCUCAUGCAGACGUACUUUAGCUUCAUGCAGCUCAGUGACCCGUAAUUUGCCUUGACGAAUGCCAGGGUUCUAAACACUGGGGCAAAGCGGAACUCGUCCAAGUUUCAUGCAGCUGAGAAGUUAGCCACACAGAGCAACUACUUCCUAAAGGGCCAUCAGGCAACUAAGCCAUUCGUGUAAACCUCCAUUCCUUUUCCUGCGGACCAGUUUGAUGACUCAGACAAUGCAUACAACUAGAAGAGCAUCAGGCAACUAGGAAGUAUCCAUUGACGGAUGUGAUGUUGGAGCUCUUGACAUCUAAGGUUUAUUAUAGAUUUGCCGCAGACCAUAAGAUGAUGUAAACCUGGGAAUAUAAGAGCAGAUGUUGCAAAAAUGCAUGCAGUCGUUAAAUUCUUGGAGCAGGAGGCAAGCAGUUUGAGAGAAAUGAAACAUUCAACACACAAUACAAACUUAUAAUUACAUUACACAAGCUGGAGCUGCCGUCUCUAUCUUUUACUAGCCACCAUUUCCACCUCGAAACUAAUACGGCAGCUUGAACUAAGUACAACAAAACAUACACCUAAAAAAAGGCGGAGGAAUAUAUGUAUCCUCUUCCACAUUGAACCUAUUAAGUUGCACAACUUCCCAUAGAUUCAGGGUGGUGUUUAUUAGUUGGCCAUUGCGAAGUUCCAAUGUCUACUACCUUCGCCUGCGUGAACCGGCAUGCAUUUGAUUAGCCAUUUCUUCUCUCAUUGCAUUCCAAGCUGCUAUCUCAUGUGGGGGCACAGCCAAUGGUUGUAUAUUCGGGUAUGGAUUACCACCAGCUUCGGCUUGUACUUGUAUGUCCUCUUGUUCAUAUUGCAUGAAGUGAUCAUCGGAGGGUUGAGUUUCCCUUAAGAAAUUGUGCAAUGCACAACAUGCAAUAACUACAUUGAUUUGUGUUUGCAUAUAGGAAUAUGGGACAGGUCCCUUCAAAUACGCAAAUUGUUGUUUCAAGACACCAAAAGAGCGCUCAACUACAUUGCGAAGUUGGGAGUAACGGGUAUUAAAUAGCUCCUUUGGUCCUUGCCUCGACCACGUCCUUGCCCAACACGUGAAACACGUCCUCCUUUAAAUGGUGCUAAGAAUCCCGGCAUCAUCUUGUAUGCCGGAUCCACCAGGUAGUACUUGCCUAAACAUAAAAAAUUGUGUGGCUAAGCUUCUGAGUUGGAUAUUGAAAAUGGUGAAACUUUAAGGGAGGCCUAAGAAUUCUCAUAAUUGGGAUGUCCACAAUAAUUCGACUAUUGAGGCUUAAGAAAGAAAUGGAAGUGGAAUACUUUGGAUAUCUAUUUUUGUGGCUGACAAGGAUAGGACACGGGUACGACUCUUUGAAAAAAAAUUACUAUGCUUCACAUAUUUGAGAAUCUGUUUCGCUUGGUAGCAACCCUGUGCAGAAACUCAAAGGUCAACUCUUUCUACAUUGUAAACUUUAAAAACCUGCCACUAGCCAUACGAAACUGAGACAUGUUAUUCCAUUUUAGUUUGAUAUGAGAACAGGCACUACGGUCUGCAGUCUAAAAGGAAGAUGUGACUACUACAAGAAGACGGGUUUGUAUUCCUUAGUCUAUUUGCCAUUCAUUUUUCCUUUCCACCUAUUACUGGAAGCACGUCUAAGAAUUUAUUGAAUGCACAAUAAAAAAUUUGGGAGCAGUUAAGGCAGACCAAGGGAUGCCACUUAUAAGUACUCUAUGGACAGCAACACACGUAGGUCCAUGUUUGUUCGGCCUAACCAGAAAUAAACACAAGCUGUCGAACCUGGGGGUGAACUGGGAAGUCAGUGUGCAUUCGCAGUCACUUUCAAAGACCGCGAGCAUCGUGUGUGCUUCCCUCCCAUCCGGCAUAGACAUACACAAAGCGCAUGUCAUGGUCAAUACAGCUAAAACGUUCUGAGAUUGGGUCCCAUGUCUAUUAGUGUAGGCCAUUUGCUCAUUUGUGGGCACCGAAGCAGGGAUAUGAGUGCCAUCCAUAGCGCCAAUACCUCUACAUUUUGUUCGAGUAAAUCAACUGGCCAUUGACAUGUACUAUUUGCAAAUCGUGAAACCUUCAUUAAAAAAUCAUACAGUGGCUAUUACGAACUUCUAAAGCAGCAGUUUGGCAAAUAUAAGCACCAUAAGCAAGACUUGGUUCGUCUAUUAGUGUGAAAGCAAUAUAUGUAAAUAUUUGCAUUGAAAUAGCCAUCUUUUUCGAAACAAUAAAUGUUUGAGGAGGUAUCCCAACAUUAACCUUAAACAAUGAUAAUACUUGGUACUAUAUCAUAUUCUUGGAUGCACGUCAUUUGUUUCUCUUGGUCGAAUAAUCCUUUGCACAAAUCUACACAGUCCCAACAACACUUCUGCUACAUUUCUGUGGAUAGUUUCAGUAGAGUGUUGAAAUCUCUCUGCCACUACGCAGGUACGCGUGCUAUGGCUCAGCAUGACUAGAGUCAUAGCCAGUGAUUCCUCAAUAGACACAUGCUUGUGCGGAUUUUGCGGGACGUAGUUAUUUUGAACCAGAAUGUCACAAAGUCUCAUGAAAUUGUCAACCGUUAUUCGACAAUUCUCCAAUAUGCGAAGCGGGUGACCAAGGAUUAGCUCUCGCACCCACUUCCAACCAGGCAUAUCUCAGUUCGGCAGGGUACUUUGAUAAGAGGCCCAUCAUAUUGUUGGCUUCAGGUGCAAAAAGCAAAAUUACUGCAACAUUGAGAAUUGCCUCAUCAUCAUUCUCAGAACUGGUGCCAUACGAAGUUGAGAAGUUUGGGAUGAAGUUUGCCAUGUAGGAACUGGACAAAUGUUGCUUACGGUUUCACGAAUGGAAAAGUAGGGAAAAAAUCAAGGACUUACUAGUGGAAGAAAGAUAUACCAAGUUUUGGAAAGCUGGUGAAAGAAAGAUGGUUGGUGGAUGUCUGUUGCAUGGUAGGACUGUAUUCUCACCUGAUUUUAAAGGGCGAGAAUGGACAUGAAUUUGAUAAAAGCUGAUGUUCUCGAAACUAAUUGGGAUGCACAUGGAUCAGAGUUGUCUGUACCUCACUCGUCAAGUUAUUCUCUUACAAGUCCCUUUUUUAAAGAUGUAUAAGGCCCGUGAAUUAAAGUAGCUAUCUAAAAAAGCUCACCUUUUUAUAAGAGUAAACUUCAUAAAGACCUACAAGAAUGGAACUAUUCUUGACAGUGUGCACUUUAAACACUCUGAGAAUAUCUCGUCUGUCCAUGUCAAAAGAUCACACAUAUUGGGUAUGUUGGAGUUAUUCUCUUUAUAUGCACAAGAUUCGGGUUUCACACAUUAUUGUCCUUAGAAGUCCCGUUGCUGUAAUCAUCCAGAUAUAUGUUUAUCUCACAUAAAGGCAAUUUUUUCCAAUUCUUUUUUUAUUGAACCAGAGAGUAUGCUACUCUCGAGUGCUUUGAAAAAUAUGCUAUCUAAUAAAACAAAAACAACACCUAAGCUUUUUCAUAAGGUGGGAAGUGAGCAUAUGCUUCAUCUGCUCAGAAACGUGGGGAGGCAAUAAAAUCAAUUUUUCAGGAUUUGUGUUGUUCUUUCCAUGCCUAUUGGUUUGACGUAUGCAAAUGUCUCAGUUCCAUAAUGGCUGCACCGAAUGUCACCUAUGAGUUAUGUCAACUUGGCAUUGAAGAGCUACUGUAGUACUUUAGUUAGGCUUAAAUAGCAAAGAGUUAGCAUGUAAUACUUGAGUUAGGCGCUACAUUGUAGUACUUUAGUCCAAAAAAUUGAAUUGAAGCAUGUAAUAUGAAAAGCAGUCGACUUUUCUAUUAAGAAAAUGCAGGCAAAUCCUUUAUAAAGAAAUUCCUAUUCAGCUUAAAAUCCAGGUAAUACACAAUCCGAAGAGGUACUCUCCAUUUCAAUCUCCUUCAAUAAUGGUAAGGAGUCUCUUAAUGGCCUGAGCUAGUACUCACAAUUUUGCAAGCAGAAUGGAUACAAGAAUAAACAAGAGGAAGCUUAGGCAAAAUGAAAUUAAAGAAUUCAGACGUAUACAUACUUAUGGUCUAACCAUCUCACAAGAAGAAAAAACAGCAUGCAAUUAUUUACAAAUAAGAAAUUUCUAUGCAACUACUUACCAGUGCUCUUCGAAAAGGAGUCUCCUAGCAACUGACAAAUUGAAUACUCAUACAAAACAGCAUACAAAGAUAGCCCUAAUCUCCGCCAAAUUAACAGCCCUUAAAUUCAUGAAAUUAGCACAUGCAAAUCAAUCCAGGUUCAACAACAUAUAUACCAAGUUUAUGCCACUUUCAAACCAACAUAUUUAACAAACUUGCACAGUUAAACAUUCCAAAGUUUACACCAAAUGACUGCCCGUGGGAGCAUAAACAGCACUUAUCAAAAUACUAAACCAAGCAUUUUGGGUCAUAGCAAACCAAGCAAAAUCUGAUUUUUGACAACCAUGAAUGGCCACAACAUUAAAAAAGAACUUACUAGCCGAUAACGAAAAUUUAUAAAAGUCAUUCAACAAAUAGUAAACAAGAACUACGGGCAGCCAAUAAACACCGAAACUUCACUUCCCCUCCAUCUUCGGGAUGAUAAACAUCUCAAUUCAGGUUAACUGCUCAUCCCUAUUGAAGCUAAGAAACAGAGCUCUAAACUCUUCAUCCAGCAACUCCUUCAACAAGAACAUAUGCAGCCGCUUCUCCAAACCCAAGCUUUUGACAGGUUUUUUGGCAGCAGCUAUGGAAUAUUUCUCUCUGGACUCUUUUUCAUUUGCCGCAAUACAAGAGAAUCUGUUGAAAUUGCUAAGCGCUUCUUGGUAGUUUUCAGAGCCCGAUCGUCGAGACUUCGCACCUCUAGAUCGAUCAUUCUCAUAGCUAUAAGCACCACUAGAAAUUGGACGCUUGCCAGGAUUUCUUGGAACAGGGCUGUCUUCAUCGUCUGAUAAAAGGAAGUGAUGUGGAGGGUCAAUAACAGAGCUUGAAGCCACCCCUUUCCCCUUGAUGUCACUACUGUCCCCCUACGUCUCCUUACUCAAGGAGGCACAUAUUGUGGCGAGAGCUGUGCCAAGGAUUGAGCUCGACUGCCAGUGGCGUGUUUGCCACCCAUAACCGCAUCCCAUUGCAUCACCAAAUUAGCAUUAUUUGGGUGUUGGAACUCCAAAUAGUGCUUGUUUAUCUAUUUGUAUGAAGAAGCUAAGUUAGAUGCACAUUCUAUGUACAGCGGUAGUAGUGCAAAAUGUAUAAGACAGAGUAUGAAUUGAAGUACAAGAAACAAAAAUAAUUCAGGUAUUUCCAAUUCUUCCAACUUUGAAUUCUGUACACAAAAUCAAUAUGAUUACAUUAGAGCAUUUUGUUUUAGUCUCGGACGAAACAAUUAGACAGUAAGCUGUUUCACCCUAGUAGAGACGCACUGUUCUGUAAUACUAUCAGAACUAGAGCAGCAGUAAAAUUCCAAUAGAUAGUAGCCUUUUUCCUACUAUGGCUUUCAAAAGCCUACUUUAAAAAGAGCUAAUGACAGAUAACAUGUGUUCUUCCAUUCUCACUUUUUCAUAAGGAAUUGGCAUAUACGUGACCAAGGUAAUUGAGAAAACUAAUUAUGUAAACGAAAGUCUAUAACUACUGCAGAAUUUCAUGGUUAAGGAAAUACAAUGGAACAUGCAUACAAUGGUCAGAAAUAACCUGGUACAAAUAAACCCACUGAUCAGCUCUAGCUUGGAAGUAUUUAUGCUCGGCAUCCUACCCUAUCCCAGUCUCAGGUUUGGCAGAAUCUCCCCGGAGAUGAGUGAACAACCUCCAUUUCUCCACCAUGCGAUAGUAUUUGGACUGGCAUUGGCUUCCAGUGCAAUCGAGCCCACACUCUUGGGUCAAGUAGUUGGCCAACGCAGUAAAGUUAGCCAACGUGCUACGAGUUGCCUCCCAUUUUCCAUUCUGCUGCCACUCCACGUAGGUGCGGACAUAAAGAUCCUCCUCUCAGGGCAGCCAAUAUUUUUUGUCAGACAUCUAUGGAAAAACCAAUAAACACAUCAGUCUUUUAUAAAUAUGUUGUAUGCACAAUAGCAGAUGAAAUAAAAUGGCAUAGAAAAUGAUAUCUUACGUCAAAGUAGUUUUGUAGGGCCUCGUGAAAGUCGUUAGAGGCACAAGAGGAAUGGGCUAUGACAGAAGAAACUGGGGCUGCGAUGGGAUUCUGUAACACAACCAAUCAACAAUAAGUAAGAAAGGUUCUACAUAUAUUGGAUUAGACUAUUGUGCGAAAUAUAGUGGUACGGCAAGGGGAAAGACUAACGACGCUUGAACUCUGAAUAUAUGAGUUGCUCACAGGCAUAAAAACUUCCUGUAGAUCACACAUACAUCAGCACAUCGUGGGUGGUUAUAGGGAAAAAAUUGACACAAAGCAUGGGUAGCAGGAUGCCCAUAAGUUCAUCAUCAGACGAAAACGAAGUUUAGAAUGCUAUCCAAAUGCAAAUAUGUUAAGAAUGAGGGAGGCCCAUAAAUUACUCACACUGUUGAACCAAUUGACGAACGUCUUCACCAAGUUUUCUAUUUCUAACUGUAAAGCAUAUUUUGUAUUCUAUGCCUAAGUCUAAAAAAUGACUGUUGUAGGCAAAUUGUUUUGACAUCUCAGCGUAACUUUAAAUAGCAAUUCGGAUCAACUAGACCGACGACUUGAAAAAUUGAAGCAUCAGGGUAGAUAAGAAAGUAAUUCCCUUCAAAAAAUUACACAACCGUGAACAUCAAUUAAUGAUUCUUCAACUGUAAUUAAACGCAUAUUUGGGAAGAAUGCUAGUCACGGAACCCUAAUUUAACAUUCAUGCGAUUCAUCAAGUACGCAGCAACUUGACAGAAAUGGGAGAAAUUUUAACAAGGAACUAUCGAAAUCAAACAUGACAAAAUUGACCAACCAAUUAGACAAGUCUUAAAAAAGAAAUUGCCGACCACUGUAUGGCAGCUUAACGGCGUAUUGCAAGGGCAAGGAAAGCAGGGAAUAUAAGAGCACUUAACUCCUUCCUUUCUAAUGCGUUGAACUUGCAAUCGAUCGAUGAAAGGUGAGCCGAAUCACAUACUACCGCGCUCCAAUUGUAGAGGCGCUUCUGUAAUUGCAGAUCGAAACCUUUGCUUCACAGAUUUAUAGAACGACGCGCUAUUCCAACCUCGCACGCGAAGUGAAAUUUGCUAUCACUUCAUGGCAGAGGAAUCAAUUCCGCCGGCGCUUGGUAGCAGUAGACUCAGUUUUCCUGAUAGUUUCCAAAGGCCUUCAUGAUGUAGUCGUUGAAUAGGUUGGAUGAUGAAGUAAUUGCUCAGCGAAAGAGCUGCUCAGCCGAAUAAGUUCUCUGACGAAGGCUUUGAUGGAGCAGCUUUCCCUUUGCUUUACUCAGACGGAAGGUGCAACGGUACAAAAUAUGUAACUGUAAGCAAGUGAAACACAGUAGAAGUGGAGGGCCCCUGUCGGUCAAGACUUGUUAACUCCGAAUCGGUACGCCAAGUAUAUGUCCACGUGGGCCUACACUUCAAGCAUCAACUAGAUUUGGUUUUGACCAUAAUGUCCAUGCUGGAACAUACGAGAUGGAAUGUACAUGUAUAUUAUUCUGGUCUACUCUUUGUUAUCCAAACACCAAUUUGACAUAUUUUUUGGAAUAAGCCAAAAAAUGCCUAUCCAAACAUACUCAUUAUCGUUUGGAUAGGGUAUUAUUUGAAAUAUUAUUUGGAAUAAUUACUAUAGCACUUUUUGUGAUAUGAUGUAUGUGAGAUAAAAAAGUGAUUGAAAAUAUAAAAAGGUGGAUUGGAAAAUAUGUUUAUGAUGCAAGCGAAAUAUUAUUUGAGAUAUUGGAACUAUCCAAACAACUUAAACACUAAACCCGAAUGAGAAAACAUAGAAUAUAAAUGCCAAAUUCAGCUUCGACAUAAACAGAAAACAGAAAAGGAAGUGCCAACCAAACCAACUUCAACUACUCUCAAUUCUAGAAACUAUUUCCCCCAUCCCGAAACCCGUGAAGUUACGUUUGGACUAAGCCUCCAUUGCGGCUUUGGCAAUCUGAACAGCUAUGUAAUUAGGAAAAGUUGCAGGUUGAAGGAAGAUUAAAAUACAAUCGGAUUGCAAAAGUGUGAUAGACUGCGUUACAAUAGAUUCCUGCAACGACUGCAUGCAUCUAUGUUGUGAUAUUGGAGAAUAUACAAAAGUCGAGGGAGUUUUUUGACCAAUGCAAUUUCUCCUUUAUAUAUAGAGAAGAAAAUGAGUUGUGUCAUAGGUUAGCAAAAUUCACUUUAAAACGAUGUAUAUUGGGAAGGGAGAGAGAUAUAGCUUGAGGAGGACAAAACGAAAUGUUCUGGACAUGCGUCAUUACAUAAUAGUCCAUAAUAACCUUCGUUUGGUUCAAAGUACAAGUGAAAAUGAAGGAGGAGGCUACUUCUCCUCAUCAUUCAUCCCACGCACAAAUCUUACUGACAGUACGUUUAGUUGAAACGGAUGGCUUCAUGCACCUAUACUACGACCGAAAUCAUGUUCAUUCUGGAAAUCAAAUCCAGAAUAAGAGAGCGAGUGAAAUCAAAUCCAUUCCGGUAUCAUUCUGGAAAGAGACUAUGUCGCGCAGCUUGUUGAGAAGAAUUUUUGCCGUGCACCUUCCAUUCCCAACUCCCAACUCCACCGCCUUCCACUACCACCAUCCACCACCAUCACCCCAUUAAACUCUUUCUUUUCGUCCUCCCCAACUCCCCACCCCACUUUACUCCUUCCCGUUCCAUCCAAUUCCGAUGGAAAUCCAAACGGCCAACUGAUCAUUUGAAGCGAAAGGAGCUCCGGUUUUUAACUAAACAAUGCCGCUGCAGAGAAGACGGAUGCGGGAAAUCUUUUAAAACUCUCAAACAACUGGAUGAUCAUUAUAAGCUUAAGCACAAGAUUGCAGAGAAACAUUUGAUUCGCUGCACAUGUGGGAGCCGCUUUCACUCAGCCCAAUCACUGUCCGAACACAAGAUGAGUGACUGCCCGGUAAAGGGUUUCAGAGAUUGGAAGCACUAUCGGAAAUAUGCUGCAAGCAACAGACAGAAAAAAUAUGACAGUCCAACAGACAGAGCUGGAUUCUUAAUUGUUCAUUACUUUACAAAAUGAUACUUAAAGUAAUGAUGAAAGGUUAAAUUGACUACAACAGUUAAAUUUUCUUGAAAGUAAACUAAUUUUAUGAAAAACUGAAAUAGAGUAUAGUACAAGCAUUUGUUAUUACCAAAAAGUUUUAGGUGAUUUAAGGAUAGAACUUUUGGGAUAUGUAUUUUUUGGAAAAAAAAAAUAUUUAGAUCUUAAAUUUAGGAUUUGCGAUAGUAAAUGGAUAAAUGGAUGGAUCAUGGUUUACACUAUCCAUUUAAAUGACAUCCAUUUAGAUCCAUUUAUUAAAUAGUUUUAAUUGAAUUGGAUCAAUUUGAUCCAUUAUCUAUUUAACUAAAAUUAUUUAUCAACCAUAUAUCCAUUUUGUCACUUCCUAGUUAUAGUCAUCAAGAAUGCAAACCCGGGACAAAUUGAUUGCUCCUUCACUUGCGGAGACCCCAAGGUACUCUACCAAACCUCUCUCUCUCUCUCUCUCUCUCUCUUCCAAAUUUUAGGCAAAAAUGCAGAACCCAUAAUUAUAAAAUCAGAUCCCGGCAAUCCUGCUACUAUGAUUUGUUGUUAUACAUUUAGACUAGCUAGCUAAGGUGUGUAUGAAUGAUUAUUCUCAGUGUUAAAAACAUAUCAAUCCAUUUUGUUUUAAUUAUUUAUUUAUCUUUGUCAAAAUCCAUUUUGUCUUAGUUUUGUACUAAAAUUAUAAUACUACUAAGUUUCAUCUGUUGUAGGCAAAAACCUUGCACCAGCUUCAUGUGUGAGAGCCGACUGCAAUGGGCAAUGGGCUUUCAGUUGUUGGAUCUCUUUUCAUAUUCACAGGAAACUAGAGGCCCAGAAAACUAGAAGCAAAAUCUAAAGCACUCUUACAUUCAUAUUCAACACUCCAUCAUCCAUCCAUCCAUCCAUCCAUCUCCAUAGGAGGAUCUCUUUUCAGACCACCAGCUGGUUUUGCAAUUAUAAUCUGUAUCGGGAAACCAGUACACAACACAUAAUCACAAUUAUUGUAAAAGAUGACGAAAACUUCUUAACGUUGAAACAUGAGAAGAACCAUUUCCAUCAUUCUGUGGGUGGAUCAAAUGCACAUGUUUUAGACCAAAAUGCAUUGCUGUGGAUUUUGAUGGAAAAUAUUGUUCUUUUUGCUGGUUGUAGCAAUAUCAAAGCAAUUGAAAAUAUUGCAUUGCACCUACUAAAAGUCAGAUGAGAUUUAUGAUCAAAAUUUCCAGCAAAGGCAUCCAUAAUUAUUAACAACAGCAGCACCGUUUAGACCCUCCUUAUGGGACCUUAGUGUCCCGAACUGAGGCAAAAUAACUACAAGAAUCUCCAACUAUACUUAAAUAUUGUGGUUAACCCAAGCCUUCUUUUGAAACUAGUGAUAGGGUAUAGUAUGAGCUUUUUAGCAUGCCCAAGAAAUCCUGUCAUCAUGCAUGACUUCUGAUCCACUUAGGAGAUCUAAGAUCUCCACACUUGGAAAGUCUCUGCAAAUUCACCUAUAUCCUCACUUAGCCCCAGUAAGGGAAACUUCUAGGCAGUGAAUUCAAAAGACAAUCACACAACCCACAAAAUAACUUGAUCAACUGAAAACCUAUACCUAAAACCAUGGCCAUCACCUACGCACCAAUUACCAAGUAAUCCUGCCAAUUAUUGCAUAUCCGCUCCAUAAACUACAUUGAAUUCUCUACCACCAAGUGAAACUCUUUCAUAUUAAAAAAAAAAAGUCAACUAAAUGCAGCAUAAACCACAAAAAUGGGUAAUUCACCACCAGUAUCAUGACAACAACGUUACAAACAAGAAAAGUAAAGAUGCCAAGAAUGUCUUACCCGGUCUACACGCAUGACAGUACAAACAGCAUCAGCAGCAUAUUUGAGAGCAAAAAACCUAUCAAUUGAAUCAAAUCCCUAGUUAAGAACCAUCUGACACUUCAUUAAAUUUGAUAUUUCAGAAUAGCUCGAGUUGCUGAAGAAUAUUCUAGAAUGCAUCAAUCCCAGGGAGAGUAAACUAAAAAGGAUCUCCUUCAUGGGCAGAAAAAAACCCAAGCAAGCAAGCACUUGAGUAUCAGCUCCAGUUUUCACAAGCUCAUGCACAACUGGGCUGCUUGGAUCUUUUGAUUAAUGUUGAGGAUCCAAUGACCAAGAUCGACAGAGCUCAGGAUCUCCAUUGAGCUUUUGUUUACGUUGCUCCACAGAAGCUAGAUUUAGUUAGGUGGUAGCCUUUAAUAUGCAUGACAUAUGCAGGUCACUAGAAAUUGCUAAACAAUCUUCUGAACAACCUUCACCAGCAAGGUUUAAUGCUUAAUCCAAGAAUGACUUUAAAAGUAAAAAUUGCUCUCAAUCUUCAAAAUUGAACCCUCUAUGCUAGAAAAAAAUUGAAUGUGGAUUUCAGCAAUAUAAGAAAAAAGCUUACUUUAUGGUAUAUGGGUCCUAUACACUGGUUGUGGAGACAUCUUUGCAGACGCCUUCCUCCAAACUAGGGGUGAGCAUUCGGUGCAAAUGCGGUAAAUCGGUGCGCUGAAUUCGGUUUUUUCGGUUAUUGCACCUAUAGAAAUCUAAACCGUUUUCAAUUUCGAAUUGGGCAUUACCGAAUUCAUGCGGUACCCGAUUUCAAAUUCGAAAACGGUAAUGAAUUCGGUCUAACCGAAUUCAUCUAUUAUUUAAAAAAAAACCUGCAGCAAAUUAAGAGAAUAUAUAAACCAAUCUUUAUAGUUCAGCAACUACCAACCCCCGCAAGCCAUUAGAUGUUUCUCUUUUACACAUUGCAGAAAAUUCAUAUCCAGAAUCCUAGGUACAACUUCUGGAGCCGUACUUUCACUAGAUGUGCACCAGAGAUUGAGAAUCUCCACGGACAAGGAGGUAAAAUUUUCAUUUUAGCAAGUUUUUUUCUUUAUAAUUUUUCUAACGGGUAAAAGGUGGAAUUUUUCCCCAAGGCCUUAACUUUUAAAGGCUGCACAACUGGAGAGAGCUUCUUGUGUAUAAAAUACAAAGCUUAUGUUAUAUCACACCUAAUCUAAACUACUACAACAGUUAGAGUUUGCAAUUGGAAGCUCAGAUUUCGUCCCCUUAUCAAUUCAGGAUAACAAAUUUCCUAGUCGAUCUUGGCCCAUUUUAAUGCCAGAGACACAGAGCCAAAAACAGAGGAGCACUUACCUAAGUGAGCCAGAGAUGAGCAGUGAUGAACCAGCGAUGAACUAGUGAGAUCUUGGUGCUUCGUCUUCGACACUCGGCAGAGAUGAACCAGCACGGCAGGACACAGCCAACAGGAGACGUAGAGCGCGGCGGACUGGCGGAGGCCGGAGAGGCAGAGAGCAGCUUCGAUUUGGGAAUUGGGACUUGGGACUUGGGAGUGUUAGUGCUGUGAAAGCCGUAGGUGACGGCAGUCACGGCACUAUGCAAUAUUGCAAAUUUGCAAUGGUUGUUUUCUCACUUUUCAAUUUUCAUCAGCUGAAGAUGAAAUCGGACUUUUUCCAAAUGAAGUGAUUUUGUAAUUUUAAAUUUACAAAUUAGGGCUCCUAAAUUAUAAUACAUUCAUUAUGCUCCUCAAUGAUUUAAAAAUUAUUACUAAUUUGAUCCCCAAAUUUAUUCAUAAUUGAACACAUUAUUUAUGUUCAAAUCAUUUUGUGGUUUAAUUGGCAUUUAUUUGAUCACUUAUACCUAAAAUCCUUGGUAUAUGAUUUAAGAAACACAUAAAAAGUUAUUAAUUUAAACUAAUUUAGUUAGUAGUUACAAUGAAUUUAUAAUUUACAAUGAUUAAUCAUAAGUAAUAUUAGUUACAAACUUACAAAUUACAAUGAAUCAAUGAUUAGUGAUAAGUUACAUUAGUUACAAACUUAUAAUUUAUUUCAAAUCAAAAUAAAACUUAAUUACUGGAUUUGCAACUCACAUGUAUUCACUUACACUGCUUAGUUAUUUUGUCUAUACUUAAAACUUUAAGAUUAGUAAAUAGAUAAUAUGAACUUUUAACUUAUUUGAUCACUUAUACCUACAAUCCUUAGUCUAUGAUUUAAGGAACACAUAAAAAGUGAUUAAUUUAAACUAUAAUAAACCUUAGACUGUACAAUGGUUAGUAAUAAUUUAUGAAUUUAUAAUUUACAAUGAUUAAUAAUAAGUAAUAUUAGUUACAAACUUACAAAUUACAAUGAUUAGUGAUAAGUUAUGUUAGUUACAAACUUUUAAUUUAUUUCAAAUCAAAAUUAAACUUAUUUAUUUACAUAUGUUAUUGUGAAAGUCAAUACACUAAUACAUUGAUUUGCAAUUCAUGUACAUUCACUUACACUGCUUAGUUGUCUUAUCUAUAUUUAAAGCCUUAAGAUUUGUGAAUAUGUAAUGUAAAUUUAGAGUACACUAAUACUUGCAAGUUAUAGAUUACGCAUUCAAAUAUUCAAUAAUUCAAACAUGAAUGAUGUAUCAAAUUACCAAUAUCUAAAUUCUAAUUACUAAUUAUGUUUAUUGUUUAAUAUUUAGUAUUAUACAAAUAUGUAUUAAUUAUUAUCUAAUUCUAGCCAUGUUACUCAUGUAUAAAAUAAUAAGUAUUAUAGUUAUCUUAUAUUGUAAUGUAUUACUAUGCAUUAUUGUAGUCAUAUAACAAUUAAUAAAUACUAAAAUAAUAUAAAUAUAUUGUACAUCAUUAUAUAUUAUUAGUAUUAUAAGUACAUGAUAUGAUAAUAAUACCAUAUAGUAAUUAUUAUUAAUAACAUUUACCUAUAUAAUAUAAUAAAGUAUUAGUAGUAUAUACUAAUACUAAAUAGCAUUUAUCUAUAUAUUAUAUAAUUUUAUAUAUCAAUUUGGUAUUCGAAUGCUGUAAUGCGGUACCCGAUUUCAAUUACCGAAUUUUGAAUUCGAAAUCGGUUAUUACCAAAUUCAUAAUCUCAUUACCUAUUUUAUACCAUAUUAGAAUUCGUGAAUUCGGUAUUCACCGAAUUGGAACCGAAUUACCAAAUACCCGAUUUCAAAUUACCGAAUUGAAUUUGAAAUCGGUUAUGAAUUCGGUACGAACCGGAUCUGCUCACCCCUACUCCAAACCGAUGUCAACACCGGUGUUCCCAGAUGCAGGUUCGGCAUACAAAGAUGCUAUGAUCUCCAUGGCAUUAAGCCCAGCUUUCUUAGCUAGGGUUUUAGGUACCAUUUCAAAACUUUCAGCAAAUCUGGAAAUUGCAUACUGAUCUAAGCUGCAAGGCAAUGGAAAAAUCUGAGCCUCAACCAAACAAAUCAUCUACAAUUCAGUUUACUAAUUGACAAGAAAUCAAGCAAACAAUAGACGAGUUACAGUAUGCCAAAGGCUAUGAGAAGCCAAUAAAUAUUUGCAUAAACAUUCAACAAAAACACUUUCAGAAAUAGAUUGCAGCACUUGUCAUCCAGUUAAUGUCAAUAAAAUGGUCCUCUAACUCAGAUCAGCACACUGUUCAAUCAUAUAGAGCCAGAACACUAACUCUUCAAGUGGAUCAUUCAGCAGUUGAGCCAAAAAAUGCAUGAGAAACAAGCAAGUCCAAUAAUUUAUUCAACCUUAACUUAUCCCGUGCAAAUAAUCAAACAAACGUAUAUAGUAAAAAGAUGUAUGUUACAGUUGGCAGCCACAAGCAGAUGCACAUAAACUUCUCUAAACAAGGACUAUAAAAAUACACUUGCAAAAUGGAUAGAAUAGUUGCUCAAGCAUGUGAAGAUAUAUCUUGCACUUCAGCACAGCUACAAUAACCUAAAACAAUAUAUGCUUUACUGCAAGGAAGUGCAUUACCCAGUUUCUUUGAAAGAAAACUCCUUUAGUCUUCUGGCUAAUUCAAUCUCAGUAGCUGCAGCACCGGGUACUAUUUGACUAUCCCUGCAUAUUGCCUGGUAUAGAUGGAAAUAGCAAAGUCUAUUAGAUCCCAACUGCAAGUAAAAACUUGCAAAUCACCUAGAAGCAAAUAGUUAACAACUUGCAAAGGCAUCUAGAAGACAACCCAUCAUUCCAUAUGUAUAUCUUUUAUAUUCAGCAAAGGGUACCUUGUAUGUAUUAACUCCAUCAUCAACUGCUCUCUCAAGAUCAUCUAAUAUACUGCUGCCUCGCAGAACAACUGUGGAUACUGAAUUUCCACCUUCUUCAUUUCUUACAAUUGUAACCUAUUCAUCAUUCAUAAAAAUCAUAUACAAGCAGUUGAAACAACUACAUAUUGGAGAGUAACAGCGCCACGGGCUGUCUUAUCAUACCUUAACACCACCAAUUUCAUCCACUGAAAUGGAAUCAACAUAUUCAAGAUCAUCUGGAUUUGGCGAACUAAGUUUCAACUGUAUCGAGAUGACAAAAAAAAUCAGAAACAAUACAAAAAGUUUCACAACUUAAUACUCUCUGACUGCAAGAUGCUUACAAGAGCAACAGCACCAGUGGUAUGGCAAAACCGUUGAAGCUCAAAUUUGGAGCUAAUCAUUAGGACCAUGAGCCUGUAAAGGAUAUGUACUGGCUAAUCAGUUGUUCAACAUAAUAGGUUCACAGGCAAGUAGACAAUUAAGCAAAAUGACGUGAUAUUCCAGAUGCAAGUAUUGUGCAUGCAUAUGAAAAGAUGAACCAUGAUGAUGGCAAUUCAAGAUCCAGGUCAAGGAAAAUGCAAAAUUGUCCAAGACUCCAAAUAUGAUUACCGUGUCCCACCAAACACCAACCCACAACCCACCUUACCCCCCCCCCCCCAAAAAAAUUAAAAAAAAUUGGAAAACAAUAGAGAUAAUGGAAAAAGUUAGGAACAAGAAGAUUUUACACAUCUUCUCUUGUACAAAAUACGCUUAAUAAAGGAAAAUUUCUGCAAUGUAUCCAACGUGAGUAAGGGAACGCAAAAUGACACAAAGCUAAAGGAAAGUAAUCACGUUUCAAGCUGAUUAAUUGCCUAUUCGAGUUUCCCAAGAAAUUCAAGCAGAUAUAAAGUAGUCGAAACAAGUGACCAAUACACAUGUUCUUUCAGUAGUCUACUAUGCAGAAUGUGCCAAUAUUUUCAGGCCCUACCUCAUUCCCAUAAGGACAUGAUAUUCUUACCUCUCUCUUACUGUACAGAAACCUCAUACUGAGAUAUGAAGGCAAAAAUGGGCUAGGUUAGCAGAAAUGAAAAGGCACCCGACUAAGCCAUUCCUUCAAUGGGCUAGGUUAGCAGAAAUGAAAAGGCACUCGGCUUCUCAUUUCUCUGUAUACAUAAAAGGAAAAAAAAAAGCAAUAGGCAGAGAAAAUGGCUUACUUGUAACGCUCACAAAAAUGUAGUGCCAUCUUUCCAACAACUGCUCCGCUAACAAUAACCUUUGCACCAGAUCCUGCAAUUGCUUUUAUGAGUUCCCCAACCUUAGCUGCUCCAAUCUUGGCAUAAUUUUCAAGCUGCAAAAGCAGAACAGAUUAAAAAUUACCAGACUCUGAGACGAGAAUGCAUUAACGUAGAAUAGAUUACUAAAUGCUCCAGAAUUCCACAAAAGCAAACAAAAUAGAUGAACACUAUAAAUACCAUGUGAAAACGGGUUUAGUCUUUGAAAAACCAAGUUCAGGUCUUUACGAACAAGGAUCUAAAGGACUAGAAGCCCCCCUUAAUACCUGUUGAGCUCUGUGGAUUAAGGCAGUUCCUUUUGUUUCUGUGGCGGUUGUAUCAACAGCUCCAGCAAAUAUAGCAACCUACAGGAAUGAUUGCAAAGUUUUAAUGCUCCUGAUAAAGAAUGAAUAUCAAUCAUAGAUAAAUCAACAAGAGUAGUGUCCUUCCUAACUUUCAUCAUGAGAAGCAUAAAACAAUUUGCCAUGAUCUGAAACCUCUUAAAAACAAGCACAGCCAGAAAUUUUGGAAGUUUUCACAGUUAAUAGAAAACAAGUGCUGUUCAGAGCAGACUGAAUAACCGAACACAUUUUUCAUAGAAUUUGAUUAAACUCAUGUAGCAGAGGCAUUAAACAUGGCGGCAGGGGAAGAAACCUCGUUAAUUGCAUAAAUAGUGCUGGGGUCCAGAUCCAUUCAGAUGAGGUCCUCAGCAUUUUGGAGGAGCUCCCCGGCAAAAGAGACACACAACUUAGCACCGACACCAAAUUCCUCUUGUUGGGCAUUGCCAGUAAGAACCAAGAUCUUAGCAGCAAGGUGCUGAACUCCGAGCUUGUUGCCAAUGGUGGCAGCGAAAAGCUUGUCGAGAUGAUUGAUAACCAUCUUAUCCAUACCUUGGGGGGAGGGGGGGAGGAGGUGGCAAGAGAGAGAGAUCGAAACGGAUUAUUCACAGAUCCCAAUGAAAUAUACAAAUGUAAAAAUAACAAAAUAUUUACCUUUAAAAAAAAUCCACCAUUCCCUUCUUUUUCUUCUUCUUCUUCUUCGACUUCCGAAAAAUGCUUCUCCUCUCCCUCUCUAGGCUCUCCCUUCUCCUCCUCCUCUUCUUCUUUCUCUUUGUCUUCCCCUCCAGCUCUGUCUGUUGGACCGUCAUACUUUUUCCAUCUGUUGCUUGCAGCAUAUUUCCGAUAGUGCUUCCAAUCUCUGAAGCCCUUUACCGGGCAGUCACUGAUCUUGUGUUCGGACAGUGAUUGGGCCGAGUGAAAGCGGCUCCCACAUGUGCAGCGAAUCAAAUGCUUCUCUGCAAUCUUGUGCUUAAGCUUAUAAUGAUCAUCCAGUUGCUUGGGAGUUUUAAAAGAUUUCCCGCAUCCGUCUUCUCUGCAGCGGCAUUGUUUAGUUAAAAACCGGAGCUCCUUUCGCUUCAAAUGAUCAGUUGGCCGUUUGGAUUUCCAUCGGAAUUGGAUGGAACGGGAAGGAGUAAAGUGGGGUGGGGAGUUGGGGAGGACGAAAAGAGAGAGUUUAAUGGGGUGAUGGUGGUGGAUGGUGGUAGUGGAAGGCGGUGGAGUUGGGAGUUGGGAAUGGAAGGUGCACGGCAAAAAUUCUUCUCAACAAGCUGCGCGACAUAGUCUCUUUCCAGAAUGAUACCGGAAUGGAUUUGAUUUCACUCGCUCUCUUAUUCUGGAUUUGAUUUCCAGAAUGAACAUGAUUUCGGUCGCAGUGUGAGUGCAUGAAGCCAUCCGUUUCCACUAAACGUACUGUCAGUAAGAUUUGUGCGUGGGAUGGAUGAUGAGGAGAAGUAGCCUCCUCCUUCAUUUUCACUUGUACUUUGAACCAAACGAAGGUUAUUAUGGACUAUUACGUAAUGACGCAGGUCCAGAACAUUUCGUUUCGUCCUCUUCAAGCUAUAUCUCUCUCCCUAUUCUUCCCAAUUCAGUCCCUAUAUCUCUCUCCCAAUUCAGCAGCGCCACCAUUUCAAUGACUCAUCAAACAAGUAAUGAUACCAUACGAAGUAGCAUGAGUUUGUAUGCUUCUAACAUAUUGAUGAAUCUGAGACUUGAUAAAAGAAGAGAAUAUGAAACAGCAUGAAUGUUGCAUUUGUUUUUUGACCAACAAAAUAUAUUUCUUUUAUUUUUUCUUGUAAAACUAAGAGAUUAAUGCAUGCUUUCAUGUUCUUACAUUACUCCAAAAUUUGAAUAGAAGCGUUGAACCAUCAAUGUUUGAGGGAGAGGCUUUAGCUUUGAAUGCUAUGUAUGAAACUAGAACAGUCCGUGUGCCUAAACCAUUUAAGAUGAGGUUAUAAAUCGUGUAUUUUAAUGGCUUCUUCUCAAAUUGAAAGAUUUUAAUUGAAAGAUUUCCAGCCAGCAAUAAUCUUACUUGUAGCAAUAGAGCAGCAGGCAUCCCAACAAUAUUACUCCGGCCAAUAACAACUGCUCUCUUCCCUUUGAUAACAACACCAUAUCUAUGCAACAAUUCUAUGCAUCCUUUAGGCGUGCAAGGCACAAAUAGUGGUUCCCUAUCUCGCAUGGCAAGACGUCCAAUGUUUAGUGGGUGGAAUCCGUCCACAUCUUUUUCAAUGCAAACAGCAUUUAAUACAUUCUGCUCGUUGAUGUGCUGUACAAGAUCCAUGAAGACAGGUGUUAAAAGUGACCUCAAACAAUAACUUAUAAGUUAACAUUAGUAACUUCCGAGUCUCUUACUAUAGAAUCUUAAGUUGUCCUAAACCAUUUUUAUCAAGCAGUCAAUCAAUUUACAAUUUACAGAUAAUGAAGGAAGCAGAGAAUAAGUUCAAUUUGCAUUGAGCAAUGAGAGACAAAUAUAGAAACACAAGAUAAUCAUAAUGGUAAACAUGUAUAGCUUUCUAGUCCUCACUCAUCAAACGGAAUAAUUUUAAUGGUCCCAAAAUGUUAUAUUGAAGAAAUGAAAGUCCAGGGAAAAUUAUAAAAGACACAAUAAAGUAUUAGCUACAUUGUAAUUCACAAACAUCCAUUAAAGAAUAGUUCACUUCAGUGCAAUGCUUCAUUUACAAAAGAAAUUAGCUCUACUUCAACUUGACUCAAGAUAGCAGAGGAAACCAUUGAAAGUAGUUACAUUUUUUUCCCUUAUCAUUUCAAGCACAAACCAUACCAUUAUACAGGCAAAAAAAAAAGUAGAUUCAGGCAUAUUUUGCAACCGAAUUUGAUCCAAAAAGGACAAGAAAUAUUGAUAUUCAAAACCAUACAGAAGGUAAAGGUAGCUGAACAAGGAUGCCAUGAACCGCAGGGUCAUUAUUAGAACUUGAAAUAUGCUUAAGCACUUCUUCUUCUGUCGCGUCUUUAGGCAAACACGCUUCAAAAGAUUUAAUUCCUGCGUCCUCACAAGCUUUCUUCUUGUUGCGAACAUAAGUUGCUGAAUCCUUCCUGUCCCCAACUAGGAUCACUGCCAGCCCUGGAACGACGCCUAGUGCUCCUUCAUCUUAGAUACUCCUGCUGCUACUUCCUCUCUGAUUUCUUUAGCAACCCUUUUUCCAUCAAUAACUUUAGCGGAAGGUUCAGUAGCCAUAGCAGCUGAUUAACAAAAUUCAAGAAACAUUAGGAAAAAAUAAAGCAAAAACCCGAUGAAAUUCAAUGAAAAGACAAGAAACCCACAAUCACAAAAUGUUGAAGACGUGAUUUUUUUGACCUAAUUGUCAAAUUUUAUCUCAAGCUGCAUGCAUAAUAAAGCAAAGACAUAAACUUUGAUUUUCAAAAACAAAAACGAAGCUUUAUGAGCAAUUCAUACGAAGUUGAAUUGUACCAGCAAUGAACGAAGGAGGGUUGAUAGUUUGAGCGAAGACAGUUGUGGGAUAUUUGCACGGACGCAGAUGGACAUGACGGAGGGGGUUGAAGCGGCGGUGGAAGUGAAAAGCUCUGCAUUUGGAGGAGGUGGUGGCGGUGGUCAAUGGGAGUAGUCAAGGAGAGGAGGAGGAGGUUGAGCAGCCGGAGAAUACGAGUUUUGAAGUGGUAGACGACGUCGUCGUCAUGGAAGAGGGCGAUGCCAUGAAUGGCCGGAGCGAUUGGAGCUGCCUGAGUAUCAGCCCU